CCCUUGGAUGUCCUGGGCCGCACGCGCGUUACACUGAUGCAUUCAACGAGCUUAUAACCUUGGCCGAGAGGCCUGGGCAAUCUUGUUAACGUGCAUCGUGAUAGGGAUAGAUUAUUGAAAUUAUUAAUCUUGAACGAGGAAUUCCUAGUAAACGCAGAUCAUCAAUCUGCAUUGAUUACGUCCCUGCCCUUUGUACACACCGCCCGUCGCACCUACCGAUUGGAUGGUCCGGUGAAGCCUCGGGAUUGUGGUUCUUGCCGCUUUAUUGUGGCGUGACCGCGAGAACUUGUCUAAACCUUAUCAUCUAGAGGAAGGUGAAGUCGUAACA
rnacentral:rRNA from 1 species